UACUCACGUUAUGCACCAGUUGAACGAGGUUAACGGUGUGGUCCUGAUGUACUACACUCCACACAGAAUUACAAGCCUGGAUAAAUUCCGCCGAUCUAGGAGAAAAAUGGAAAGUUUUCCUGGAAAACAAACAAAAAUCUUGGCAUGUGAUUGAUUCACAUUCAUGGCCUCACAAAGUGUACCAUAGAAGCCUGCUUGCGUCCAGGAUUCCAAAUACCAAGGGCACAUACUGUGAUUUGAUACCCAAUAAAGAAAGCUC